rnacentral:lncRNA from 1 species
GGAGUUGGCUGAAAGGAGGGCUUGGGGGCAGAUGGGUGUGUGGCCAGCUCCACUGUCCGCCCUUCCCCUUGGCUUUUCCAGACCUGAGCACGAUUCCUGGUUCCUGACACACUUGCCACUUCCUGUCACCCUCCUCUUUGUCUUCUAUCUUCUCCUGGGGGUGGCAGGCCCUCAUAUCAUGUCCCAACUGGAGCCUCUGAGGCUGGCAGGAUCCCUCGCCACCUACAACCUGGGCCUUGUGGUUCUCUCAGGAUACAUCUUCUAUGAGGUCUUCUUUACAUUAUGAGAGAAACCAGAGCAGAUCACCUUUCAGCACAUCUACAACCAUGACAUCAUGCUCUUCAACUGGUGGGCUGGAGUCAAAUAUGUGCCAGGUGGUCAAGCUACAUGACGCAGCCGAGGGCAGCCCUACCCAGGCCCUUGUGAGGCAGGUCUCUCUCUGCUGGGUGAAGUUUCCAGCGUGGGAGACAUACCUGAGGAGCAAGAGGGAGAAGCUGACUUCAGUGGCCGGAUGUGAGAACUAAUACUGGCUGAGCCGUCCUACAGAGAGUUGUGUGGAAGACAUCAGGGCUUACAGCCUACCCGCACGGAGCAGGCACCUCUGGGCCUGCAUUUUGUCCUGCGAAGGAACGAGGAGAAUUGCCUCCUGUCCAGAGUUCAGGAGGACAGAAUCGGAGUCAGCUUCCUGUACACACUUCUGUGACGGCACUUCUCACAUGGAUUUAUGACUAUUUGCUUCUUCCUCUGCUAGACAUGAGCCUCUCGUGGGAGAGACUGUCUUAUUCUCAAUGUUCCCCACACCUGGCACAGCACCACCAAUAAUGUGUGCUUGGAUCCUUGUAUUCCACUAUUGGCAGUCAUGAUCUCUGGUGAAAAUCAGGGCUCGGGGUGUGGAAGAAGUCAAGGCUGGCUCGAUAUCUUACAGUGGGAAACAAUGGCGGAGAAUAUCCAAGAGUGAGCAUGGGUCUGUUUGUUUGGUGAUGUGGCUACGUAAACGGUUACCGUGCAUAUCUUCUUGUGUGUUCACUGCUGCCUGCACGGGUAUUUCUACAGUUGUAUGAUUCUCUGUGUGUGAAUGGGGUUGUGUAUGUGUCUAAACAGACACAGAGAGGGCUAUGUGUAUGUGUCUAAAUACUUGUUUUGAAAUAUAUAUGCUGUUUAUAUAAACACAAAUAUAUAUAUAAGUGUUUCCAUUUGAGUUCCUCUCUGUGUGUUUGGUUGUCUCUUCUGUAAAUCUCUGAAAGUGCCACACUGGCAAAUAAAAGC